AGUUGAAAACCAUAAUAUGGCUCUAUAAUUUCCUAAAUUUUACUAGUAUGUAUGAUAACGAAUGAAAAUACACACACAGACCUACCACGUGGCGCUCUAAAAAAUAAGAAAUGUUAUUUAUCUUUUCUCUCAUUUUUUGGACGUUUCCCUCUAUUUCCCCUAAUUUAUGCCAAAUAAUUUAAAAAAAAAAAAAAAAAAAAAAAACCGAAGAGUCGCGCCCUUAAUUGUCGUACGCCUCUUCCUCGCCUUUCUCCCAGCGAACGAAUAACUCAUCUUUAAAAAAAACAACCCACAUCUAUCACUACCAUUGCUGCUGAAAGCAGAAUGAUCGAACGAAACCCACAGUUCCGGAUUUUGCUUCUCUUGGUAGGCUGAGACAGUGGAAAGAGGGAUCCAGCAUUCACAUGGAUUGCAAAGCCAUUCAGCAGGUUUUACGCUCACAGUAUAUAGUUCUUAUAAUUUUGGUGCUGCUUAGUGAAUCAGACUUGAACGCAACUAGGCUUUCGGCAGUUUCUCUGUUUUCACAAUGUCAGAUAUAGAGGAUAAGGGAGAAGCAUUAUUCUUCUACAUGGAGGAUUAGGGAUUCACCCCCAAUAUACUCCCGGGCGAAGGUUUAUUGUAGAAUCAACAUUGCAUCAUUUGGUUAACUUAUCGGCCAUUUGUGAGAUUCAGUUACUCUUAAACGGAAUAUACAUAAAUUACAAACUUAUACUUGAAGGAUUUUUAGUAACACCGGUUCUGUUGGAGUUUUACGGAAAAAAAAAGACGUGGGAUUCUAGAGACACAAGUUUCAGGCCCUUCCAUCCCUCCAUUUCUGCUUACCAAAAGCAAAGAGGCAAAUAUUAGAGGGAAAGGGAAAGUUGUGCAGAUCUAUUGUCGGACAUGAAGAAAAUGUCAGACAUGUUUGUUUGUCCAUAAAUUUCCUUUUGUGUAUAAAGGAAAAGUUGUGCCAAUUGGAUGCCAGGACAUGAGAAAAAAAAUCACACAAUGCUUGCAGAGUUGGGAUUGGCCUGAUGUUGUUAUUAGGGCAUUCCAUGGGUGGCAAGGUGGCCUGGCAAUAUGCUGAGAGCUGUUCUCAUACGGCAUACGACCAAUCCGCUCGAUUGCGCAAGCAGGUGCUUUCUCUUUCUUCCAAUUGUUUGAAAGUUUUAUUUCUAAAUCUUACUUUUGAAGUUUAUGAAUAACAGAUCAGAUUAGUAGUUAUGAAAUCAUAUUACAGAUGCUUUCUCUUUCCUCCAAUUGUUUGAAAGUUUUAUUUCUAAAUCUUACUUUUGAAGUUUAUGAAUAACAGAUCAGAUUAGUAGUUAUGAAAUCAUAUUACAGAUGCUUUCUCUUUCCUCCAAUUGUUUGAAAGUUUUAUUUCUAAAUCCUACUUUUGAAGUUUAUGAAUAACAGAUCAGAUUAGUAGUUAUGAAAUCAUAUUACAGAUGCUUUCUCUUUCUUCCAAUUGUUUGAAAGUUUUAUUUCUAAAUCCUACUUUUGAAGUUUAUGAAUAACAGAUCAGAUUAGUAGUUAUGAAAUCAUAUUACAGAUUUGUUUGGUGAAUGGUAGUUUAGUUUUGAACAUCUUUUCUGUCCUAGCAUAUAUUUUUUUUUGGUUUUAUUUUUUAUUUUUUAUUUUUUAUAAUAUAGAUGUUGACUUUCUUAGUGAUAUUCCAGUGCCUUUUUAAGUAAUGCCCUUCUUGAUUUAUUGUAAUAUGUUUACGAAAUGUUUAUAUAGCAUAAUUUCUUAUCCCUGAUAAUAUCAAGAAAAGACCUUUGCUUUUGAAAUAUUUGACGAAAGAAAAAAGAUUAAAAAAAUCAUAUACACAAUGUUCACUACUUCCUUUUAAUUCUAUUUCUCUCCACAUGCAGGUUUUUCUGUUUUCUUAUGUUCUUUGAUCUAGAAUGCUUUUGUAGAUAACUAUCCUAGCUAUGAAAGAGCUACAACCAGAUGGUAGCUACUAUUGAAUCUACUUAAUCAAAACACCUUUUUUAAAAAAGGUGCUCAAUAAAAAAGUUAAAUUAAGUACAUCACAGAGUUGGAGAAUAAAUUUUUUAGGCGUGUUGAAGAAACCAAAAGACGUAUACAUUCUCUUUGUAUGAAAAGUAGGAGUAGGAAGUGUCGUGGGUAAAGCCUUCCAGUACUACAUUCGUAUGCCUGCCAUGAUUGCAUUCAUUCACUCUUCACCCUGGGGAUUGGGGAGUUGAGACUUCCUUGCUCUUAGGCCCGCUGUAAGGCAAAUAAGAUCAGGAACAAGGAGAUCAGACUCUCCUGUUUAUCCGGACCGAUUGGACCGACUCUAAUCGUGAUUUUGACUUUAUUUAGAGAUUGAAAAGGUGAGCCUUUUGUCCUUUAUUUCCUACUAUUAAUUUUGGUUGUAUGAAUUACCAUUUUGGGUGAGUUUUUUUUUAAUUCAUUUGUUGCAAUUAAUUCUUAUUCUAAUUUUUCCCUUUCUACACUUUUUUGUUGCCCCGGUGGCAGGGCGCUCCCUACGCACAGGAUGCCUAUUUAUCUUUUUCCUAGAUUUUUUGCCAUUUAAAGUUCUAAAAAACAAUUGUUUAAUUAACUAAUUAAAAGUCAGAAAACGCUUCGGCCUACAGUUAAAGAAACGCCUAAAGCCGCUAAUGUUUCCGGUGCUGUCUCUCUCUCGCUCUCUCUGUUCUCCCUUACGCCUCCCUCCCUGUUCUUUCUCUCUGUCUCUCCCUUUACAACAAGCCUUCGAAUCAUCAUGUCCAUCUUUAAGAUUUUUUUCCCCUCAGUCCGUUUGUCUCCCAGCACAAGAGCAACUUCCCACCUUUCAAACAAAACCCUGCGUCUUCUAUUUGUUUCACUGUUAAUCUCAGAAAAUUCUUCACCGAAUUCAUGUCUACGCAGAUUCGUGUUUCCGUUACUUUCAUAUUGCCCCUGUUUUUACCAUCUGCAUUUGUGUGUCCUUUGCAUAUCCCCAAACAUUUUCAGGUAUGGUUAUAUUAAGUGAAUUUAUGAGAGGUUCGUUAGAAUAACAAUGUGGAACAAAAGGAAAGCGAGUAUUUUCCGCUACAAUUUCGAUUUAACUUAUAUACGUAACAAUGAUUUUUCUUUUAUAAGUGCAUUUUAACCGAUGAUAACCAGUUGUUUACAGCAUUUAGCUUAACAAAUUAGAAUUACCAAGGAUAAUGUUGAGCAAAAGAGCGAGUAUUUCUUCUAUUUUCCCUCAACAACGAGAAUUUAUUUCUGUUCCUAUUGUUUCUCUCAAAUCUCAAGGUAGAUUUCUUCUCAUGAUUAUGGAAUAUAUUUGGUCUCUUUCAUAUUUAGUUGGUGCUUCAUGUUUUGGGUCUUGGGUUCCGAUGGCAAGAUGGAAGACUGCAGAAUUUUCAAAUGACGAUUACGGUGAAACUUUUUCUCUUCUUCCUCUUUCUUUCCAAAUGGCUUUCACAUUGUUUGCAUUGAGGGUGGGAUUUAUGUUAACAGAAAAAUUUAAGCAAAAAAAGUGAGAACAGCGUUUGCAAUUGGUAUUUGCAGCAUUUAUAGGUUCUAAAAUUAUAUUGAAAGUACGCUUAGUAAUGCUAAAGAUCACAUAAUUUUCCAGUUUUCACGGUGUUUACUGGGAAUAAAGCUGCUGGCAUUAAUUUUUGGAGUGUUCCAUUUAAAAGUUCGGUCAUAUCAAGUCAUCAACUAAUUUAAUUGAAAGGUUUUCUGAUUAGUACUAAGAAUUUCUUAAACUUAAGAUCUAUUACUUUAAGAGUUGAAAAUUUUAGAAGAUCCAUUACUUAUCAAAAAUCUACACGUAAGAAUUAUCUCGCUUCUUUCUCAUAAAAAUCUGCUCACAACAUCUUUGUGUUCGUGUAUGUCCGUGAAGCAAUUUAUACCUAGAUUUGUGAAAUUUUUAGUACAGCUUAACCUGAUAU